UUAAUUAAAUGUGAAUGGUUUUUACCCAUCAAAGGGUUUGUCUCAUUUAUCUGUUAAUCGUAUACAUUAGCUUCCCUCUGUAAGAUUAAUUAAUUCUUCUAUUAGUUCUGCAAUUAACUGGUAUUUUUUGUAUUUUAAUGGUCACACACAUUCAUUAUAACCGUUUGACAUGGGUACCUGUCGAUUCCAUUCAUUAAAUCAACUCAUUAAUCAAUGAUCAAUGUUAUCAAAUUAUAUUGCAACAUAAACACAAACGAAAGAAGAGCUUGACAUCAACUUUAAGAUACAAUUAACCUUUCAUCAUUGAAAACAAUGGACUCUGUUAACAAGGAAAAGCGUCUCAUUUUUUCCAACAAUAUUCCGCUGAUCAUGAGUUGAGAUGUAUGAUUAAGCUAUUGUCAUAGUGAUUUGAACCGUCUUUGAUUUAACCAAAUCAAUCAUGCAACCAAUAAGUGGUGUUGAUCAAUUGUUUAGCACCACAGACCAAUGGUUACCCAUUGUGUGAUUUGUCUCAUCAUUUAACUUGCCUAAAAUUGAUGUCUAUUAUUUCAGGCAUGUCUCUGAUUUUAUGUAAAGGGGCCAAUCAAUUGUAUCAAAUUAAUGAUUACCCCUUUCAUUUAAUCAUUCAUCUCAUGACUUUCACUCAAAAUUAGGGAUGAAAAAUAAGCCAACAAGGGGCAUAAAAGGGAAUCUACCAUUUUUAAUUUUUCUUUGACAUUCUUGCUCAUAUUAAUGCUUUUCCCUUUUCUCAACAGUUUCUUUUGUUCUUUUAGUUUAUGGUUUGGCGCUUUUUAAUAUAAAUAUAAUCAUGGUGAGCCUUUUUGGUGUGUUACAACUCUAACCAAAUGUUCAUGUUGUUUUCAUGUUAACCAGCCAUCCCACAAACAGUUUACAUUGUCUUGUAUUCACCUCUAUGGAAAAAAGGAAAUUAUUAUUUUCAUUUGAUCAUUAUUCAUGAUUGUUUGCCUGAAUAACUAGCAUCAUUAUGGAGAUAAAGAUGAAUCUGGGAAGUACCGUGUUUUAAAUGCCUUUGUGUCGAAUGGAGUUUCAUGAAUUAGAACCAGAACUGGAGGAAAGCAACACAAACAGAAAAGACACUGAAAGCAAAGUGCAAAAAAUUUAAUUAGCUACCAUUCUAGUUGGAAUGUGUAUUAUUUGCUGGAAACCUUGAAAAAUAUCUAUUGAUUGCAAUCCAAUAUCCUGAUGGAAUACAAAAGUAUGAUGGUUAAUCAUGAUAUGCAAAGAUCUCAAUGAAUCUCGUCAAAAUUGCGGAAGCUUUAAUCAUCAACUAAACCAUCUGUACAGCUUAUUUCCAAUUCAUUGUAAUCACCAUUAUCAUCAUCAAAUGAAUUUGAGAUCAAAAUUUAGACCAAAACACGUAAAAUAUCGGGAAAAGGAGAGUUAAACUGAUACCAGGAUGUUCAGUGAAAACAGCACAAUCAACAUUAGAGAGAAAUUGAAAAGAUAAUCAACAUUUCGCUGAUGAAAAGCCUACUUUUACUCAGUGAGAUGAGGAUGAUGAUAGCGAUGAGCGAUGAUAGUUAUGAUGAUCAACAACAUUAUUAGGAUAAAGAUUACCAUUAUCAGCAUUGAUUGGCAACAAUAGCUAGUCAAAACAGUAGUGAAAAAAGCAGUAGUUUGAAAGUCAAUUAACUAAUUCUUUUGUUACAACAAGUAUCCUGAAUUGAUUUAGUGAUUCCCUGUAAUCCGUCAGCGAUAACCCAUUAAUGAACGAUAAACCAUGAAAACUCGAAAAAAUUCGUCUAUUGAUAAUUUCGAUUGUAUUAUUUUCAUUGCCUUAAACUAUACUAGGUGUCCCAAAAGUCACGCAAGAAAUGAAAACUACCUGUUUGUAAAUCAUGAGCCAAAGCAGAUUUUACACUUAAUUGUAACCAAACUCAAUUGUGCUUUCAUCUCAGUCCAAUGUACUGUGACUCGUUAAACGUUAAAACGAUCCCUUCAUUGUCAAUAUUAACAUAAACCGUUAAACAUAAUCGAACAAAAAUAAAAGUAAAUUGAACAAUUGGACUUAAAA